rnacentral:rRNA from 1 species
AGAUUGAACGCUGGCGGCAGGCCUAACACAUGCAAGUCGAGCGGCAGCACGGGUACUUGUACCUGGUGGCGAGCGGCGGACGGGUGAGUAAUGCCUAGGAAUCUGCCUGGUAGUGGGGGAUAACGCUCGGAAACGGACGCUAAUACCGCAUACGUCCUACGGGAGAAAGCAGGGGACCUUCGGGCCUUGCGCUAUCAGAUGAGCCUAGGUCGGAUUAGCUAGUUGGUGAGGUAAUGGCUCACCAAGGCGACGAUCCGUAACUGGUCUGAGAGGAUGAUCAGUCACACUGGAACUGAGACACGGUCCAGACUCCUACGGGAGGCAGCAGUGGGGAAUAUUGGACAAUGGGCGAAAGCCUGAUCCAGCCAUGCCGCGUGUGUGAAGAAGGUCUUCGGAUUGUAAAGCACUUUAAGUUGGAGAAGGCAGUUACCUAAUACGUAUCUGUUUGACGUUACCGACAGAAUAAGCACCGGCUAAACUCUGUG